UGGCUCUCUUGGAAUAGCUUAUUUACACUAUUCAACGGGCAGCGUAUUUUCACCAUUUUCAAUCUUCUCUAAUAGAUCAAAUUGAGCCUUAAUUGUUUUUUAAUCUGAUUUUUAGAGCUUUGAAAACUACUUCUUGUUAAAUAAAAACAUAAAACAUUAACAUUUAGUCCCCGUUCAUUUAGUUGACGUGUUCAUCAUAAAUCCUUCAUUUCUGGUUGGGAGAAGUACCUGUAAGAUGAUCUUUGAUUAUUUAUAAACGAUGAAAAGAUUUCAUGUUCUUCGAGAAAACUGGUAAUAAAGAACGAGAUAGACCGGGAAUGUUUGAUAAGGACGCAAAAAAGGAAAAAUUUUACACUUAACGACUUUUCUUAAGGCAGAUCUACUAAACGUCAACCUAAAAUCACGCUAUCAUGCUAAGAGAACUGCCGCUAAAUUGAUGCAUAAAUGUGAAAAUUGAUUCAUUGUGUCUUUUUAGUAACAACCUUAGAGGUUUAUAUCGCAAAAAACCUUUCAAAAAAUUGUAAUUCUUAUUAGAUACCACUUUUUUGGACCAAUUAGACCGUUUAAUAUGAAAUAACGAGGAACGACCAGUUAUAAAUUCCUACCGGCAAUAUAUGUUGAUGUUGAUGUUGCAUGAUGCACAUUGAUGGAAACAUGUUUAUGCUUAAAUACGAAGAGCAUCAAAGUGACCUGGAUGUAUUCAUAUAUUCUCAACGUUUAAAUGAAUGACAACUUAUCAUGAGCAAGAAAAUUGAAUAACUCUGAAGAAGGUUGAAAAAAUGGUGAAAGCGAUUUGAUGGUCAUAAUUUCAUAAAAAAACUCAACAAACAUGAGUUAAUAGUUAAGAGAUUUGAUAUGAUUCCAUUUGGUGUCAAUUGAUAGAAGUUUAAAUUUAUUUGGUUUUGUAUAAAAUAAUACAUAUGAAGAAGUUCAACUCUCAAACAUCACGAAUGAAACCUGAAUCAAUCUUGACUACUGAAAAACCUUCGUAGCUGUUAAAUGUUAUUCCACUUAAAAUUUUCAACGGUUACUCAUUAUAAAUAUCCAGAAUCACAUAGCAUUAAAAACAAUGGUUCAUUUCAUUCUAAAGGAAUUUUAUCCAAUCUCAUUUUAUUCAAAUCGUCUGUCUACAGGAUUAAUAUGCAAUAUCAAAAUACAUGAAA